UACGGAAGCAGCAGUGGGGAAUAUUGCACAAUGGGCGCAAGCCUGAUGCAGCCAUGCCGCGUGUAUGAAAAAGGCCUUCGGGUUGUAAAGUACUUUCAGUCGUGAGGAAGGUGUUAAGGUUAAUAACCUUAGCAAUUGACGUUAGCGACAGAAGAAGCACCGGCUAACUCCGUGCCAGCAGCCGCGGUAAUACGGAGGGUGCGAGCGUUAAUCGGAAUUACUGGGCGUAAAGGGCACGCAGGCGGUUAAUUAAGUUGGAUGUGAAAUCCCCGGGCUUAACCUGGGAAUGGCAUUCAAGACUGGUUAGCUAGAGUCUUGUAGAGGGGGUAGAAUUCCAUGUGUAGCGGUGAAAUGCGUAGAGAUGUGGAGGAAUACCGGUGGCGAAGGCGGCCCCUGGACAAAGACUGACGCUCAUGUGCGAAAGCGUGGGGAGCAAACAGGGAUUAGAUACC
rnacentral:rRNA from 1 species